GGACUACACGGGUAUCUAAUCCUGUUUGCUCCCCACGCUUUCGUGCAUGAGCGUCAGUGCAGGCCCAGGGGAUUGCCUUCGCCAUCGGUGUUCCUCCGCAUAUCUACGCAUUUCACUGCUACACGCGGAAUUCCAUCCCCCUCUGCCGCACUCCAGCUUUGCAGUCACAAAUGCAGUUCCCAGGUUAAGCCCGGGGAUUUCACACCUGUCUUACAAAACCGCCUGCGCACGCUUUACGCCCAGUAAUUCCGAUUAACGCUUGCACCCUACGUAUUACCGCGGCUGCUGGCAC
rnacentral:rRNA from 1 species